CGGCAAGAUGGCCGAGUGGUCUAAGGCGCAACGUUAAGGUUACCUUAAUUCACAAGCUUGUAGCUUCCGUUGUCUUCGGGCGUGGGUUCGAAUCCCACUCUUGUCA
rnacentral:tRNA from 1 species